AUUGCUUAUGUGACUAUUAACUAUGGUUCUCUUGUGGGGGCUGUGGGAGUCCGUUAGGCAGGGGCCAGAGUUCCAGGAGCAUGAGGGUACGCCUACUGUGUAAUGAAGGUGAAUUAUGACCAUCGGGGUUCACACCUCAGCUCGACUGGAGACUGGAGACCAGCCUGCAAUUCCACACACAAGUGGGUGAAAACAUUUGUUACAAGUAUACCCAUCAUCAAUAUUUUCCUGGCCAAGGGUCAUUUGGCUAUCAGACUAAAUAUACUUUAUGCUUAAGUGAUGCAAUUAUGAAUUCUGUGAAUGCUACACUUUUGAUGGAUCAACAUUUCCUUGAGAGUGGCUUGAAAAGUAUUGGAGUUGUCUAUGAAUAGCCUUUGUGACCUGCACCAUCUGAUUGUAUUUCUGGUGAAGAAAUGUUCAGCUGGAGCACUCUGAUGAAAUCAUCAGCCAUAGUUCUGCAUUAGAAGAAAUCACUUCUCCUCACACAUUUUUAAGUUGGGGAAAAUAAGACUGCUGAGAAGAUAUAAAGUUUAUGAUUUGGUUUUUACUAAGGCUUUUGGCCACAGACAAUGGCUUUAUGUUGACAUUUUCUAUUGGAAAGAAUCAAAUCUGAAGAGACGUAUAAAAGGUGACUGAGGGGGAGGGAUGUGUUCCCAAUCUCGUAUAGUUUCAGUAUUCACUUUAAAGCAAUGUAGUCCUUUUCUGUUUCUGCCCCAACAUUUCAUAAUUAUAUCAUUUUGCAAGAAUUGUGUAAUUUACAUAACCACCUAAAUUGUCAUAAUUGCUAGAAAGUGCUGAAAAAGCAUACGGUAGGCAUUUCGGAUUCAUUUCUGCUCUCUGUUUUAAACUAAUUUGAAAUGCCUUUUGCAUAAAAAUUCUUUUGGUCAACAAAAAAGUAACUUGGGUUUGAUUUUGCUGGAACCCCGUUUUCUUUUCCUUAGGCUGACUUUUCCUCCUCCAGAAAUCCUUCCCACUUUCCAUCUACUGAGUACCUAGACAGAGGGGCUCUGGGGUAAACAAGCCCUGGACUUCUUGAUCUUACACAAGAAAUUGAGACUACAGUGUUAACUCAUCUGAGUUACAGAGCUUAUCUUUGAGAGGAGGCCUAAAAGUCAGAAAAACAAAACAAAACAACAAAACCUUGUGUCUGAUUCUAUCCUACCACAGUGUUAUUCACUAUAUUUAAAAUGAGGAAAAGGAAAAAUCCAAGAAUGAACGGUUUCAACAGUUUUCUCAGCAUGCCAUUUCCAUCAUAAUUAUCUUAACCAUCUGUUUUGCUUGGAACAGGAAAAAGAAUUUGAUAUUAAGAAACUAAACUGUCAUUCUGUACAACAGAGUAGGACUUGGUUAAUGGAACCACAUUGCAAGAGAUUAAACUGGAUAUCAAUUGUAUCAAAUUUUAUCCAUGAGGCAGAAUGCCAAUACUUGAUCAUUACUUCUCUGAGAAGCAGCAGCUCAUAUACCUUUAUAAUACAGUAGGUUAGAACACCCUACGGUACAUAUCAUUUGCUGAAAGUGUAAUCAGGAAACACAUGAUGCAAAAUACCAGACAGGUAAGUGUGAUUGAAAAUGGAGACUAAUUCUCUUCAUCUCUAUCUGCUUUAGCUUCUCUAAAAAGUCAGUCUAUCUUUGUAUUUUUAGGCUGUGUAUUAAUGUUUAGCCUCCUGAAGAUAAUUUGGCUAUUAUGUGAGUCUAUAAAAAUUUGUGGCAGCAUAAGAGAUAUGCAUAAAUAGUAAACCACACUUCUGGAGUGCUUUCUUACCACCUACAUAUGUAAUUUAUAUGAAUAUUCUGCAUAGUGCACACACAUGCACAUACAAUACACACAUGCACACACACAUGAAUGCACAUACACAAACACAUGCACAAACACUAACAUGCAUACACAUGAACACACAAACACCUACACACAGCUACAUACACACACACAUGCAUACACAAAUACACACUACACACAUGCACACCUACACAUACAUAAACACACACUAAAAUUUCAGGGUAUUCUACUUGAAAUUAAAGUUUCAAAACAAUAACAAAUAAGCUGUUUUAUUUGUGUGUUGUUUUUAUCAAAUAUUAAUGAAUAAUAUUUAAUUUAAUUCAAAAUUUAAACAUAGCAUAAAAUGCUAUGUCUACCAUUCCAUUAGAAUGUUCAAAUAAGAACUUUUACUUAAAGGGAUCCUUAAUAUUGAAAACCAUUAAUUAAAUGAAAUAAAAUUCUUGUGAUCUAAGCAGCAACCCCAAGGUCCUCUAACAGUGACGGCCUUCUGCAACAGGCAGCAAAGAGAUAAGUUUUUAUAGGAGAAUAAAGAAAUUGGUCAGUUAAGGAAGAAAAAGUCUUAACAAUCUGUUAUUCUUCUGAAAUUGUGGAAACAAUAGCGCAGUUAAGGUCAACUAGUGAACUUUUUUAUAUUAAUGUCCUGCAGGACAAAGUAUUUGACACAAUGCCACUAGGAGAAAAUGAAAAUAAAUGAAACAGCAAAUAUCUUGUUACACGGCUUUGUUCUCAAUGAGAACAAAGUUUUCAUACAACUGAUGAUGGAACAUAAUACUAUAAUUUUAAUCUAGGACCUUAGAAAUCGUGAGAUAUUCUUAUUUGUAAGAAAUAGAAUAAUAAUUCAAUUAUUUUCUAAUAAUUCAAGGCAAUUACCUGUUUGCCAACUAUGAACUGCAUAGCAGGAAAGAAUAAUUCAUUAUGAAUUUCUCUUUUCUGACAUAGUCAUAAAAACAAAAUAGCCAAUGAUAUGACAUGCGGGUUAGAUUAAUUCUUAUUUCAGUAAUAUUAGCAAUUAAUUAAACCACAAAACGCAACUGCAAAAGAAUAAAAGACCUCAACAUGUAAACAACCAAGCUACAAGCCCUUUAUUCUACACCUGCUUGAAAAAUGUGCUAGAAAAAAAAAAUAGAUAGAAAGUUUGUGGAGGUAACCAACCGAUAUCUGAUGUUUCUAAGGCCCACUUCAUGAGGCACAAACCAUACCCAGUUCUACCAGGAGCCUGAGACUAGAUGGGCAGCUCCAUAAACCUAAAGGGAAGCCAAACGCUAUUGUUCUUUAAUGGGAAUGUACUAAUAAAAUGAGUGAUUCUGAUAUGCUCACAGAUCAUCUCUGGGCUCAGCUAUCCUCAGAGAAGCUUCCUCCUUCCGCAGAGGGAAAUUAAACACAGACACACACUCAAUCAGUGUACAGAGAAACUUAGACCCUGAAAGGUUUGCUAAGUCCUAAAUGAGCUGUCCCCUUAAAUCCCUCCUCCGGGGGCUUUGGAAACAAUGAAGAGGAGUAAAAAAAACAUAAGACACAGAGGGACUCCAAAGAAAUUAUCUUUUUCUUAUGUUUCCUUCUCAUAUGUGUUUGGCUUUUAAAUCUUACUUUAUUUUAUUUGUUAUUAUCCUUAGAUACUAAUGAUUUUUGUUGUUGCUGCUGUUUUUGUUUUUUGAUGUUGUUGCUGGUUUUUUGUUGUUGUUUUAGGAGAGACAGGCUGGGGAUUUGAAUGGUAGAGGAGGUGGGAAGAUCUUGGAGUAGUUAAGAGAGGGGAAACUACACUAUAUUGAAUGAAAAAAUCUUUUUACAGUAAAAGUAGAAAAAAUAGGAAUAAGUGUAUAUAUUUUCACAUAUAUCCACCCCAUCCCCCAUAUUCACAUAUAGACAUACAAAUAUGACAACCAGCAGUUAAACAUUAAGGAUUUUUAAAUUUUCAGUCAAUUUUCAAUUUAUUUGCUUCCUUAAGUCAUAAUAUAUGGACUUCUCAUUUUCUUAAUUUCUUUACAGGUGGGAAACCAAUAAAUCAGUGAUGCAUACUAACCC
rnacentral:lncRNA from 1 species